rnacentral:rRNA from 1 species
UAAUUUAUUUAAUUUAACUGAUAUUGGCUCUGAGAUGUGUACACAUCGCCCGUCGCUCUCAUUAUUGAUUAUUCUAUUUUAUUUUAAAGUAGCUUCAAUUUAGAUGAGAUAAGUCGUAACAUAGUAGAUGUACUGGAAAGUGUAUCUAGGAAGAGUUU